AUUGAACGCUGGCGGCAGGCUUAACACAUGCAAGUCGAACGAGUGGCGGACGGGUGAGUAAUGCUUGGGAAUCUAGCUUAUGGAGGGGGAUAACUACGGGAAACUGUAGCUAAUACCGCGUACCAUAGGAUGAGCCCAAGUGGGAUUAGGUAGUUGGUGAGGUAAAGGCUCACCAAGCCGACGAUCUCUAGCUGGUCUGAGAGGAUGAUCAGUCACACGGGAACUGAGACACGGUCCAGACUCCUACGGGAGGCAGCAGUGGGGAAUAUUGGACAAUGGGCGAAAGCUGAUCCAGCCAUGCCGCGUGAGUGAAGAAGGUUUUCGGAUCGUAAAACUCUGUUGUUAGAGAAGCGGUAUCUAACCAGAAAGCCACGGCUAACUACGUGCCAGCAGCCGCGGUAAUAC
rnacentral:rRNA from 1 species